GGAGAGAUGGCUGAGCGGUUGAAGGCGCCGGUCUCGAAAACCGGUAUAUUCUUUUGGGUAUCGUGGGUUCGAAUCCCACUCUCUCCGCCA
rnacentral:tRNA from 1 species